ensembl:lncRNA
UUUAAGUGUUAGCAGCCAAGGGAGCAGUUUGUUAUGUGUCCCUUGGAAAAAUCUGUCUCACGUCUUUUUCCAGAGAAGAACGGUGAGGAAAGUUUGCUAAACAAUACCUCAUAGUUUUGCAGGAUUUCGCAUCCCAAAGCACCUCGUGAAGGAGAUGAUUGAGGUUUUGCAGACUUCUAGGCUUGAGAUUCUUUCAAUGCUGUCUCAAAUUUGCAAACUGCUCUCUUGUGUUCUCAUUUGGUGCGUGCACACAUGGACUGGAGAGAAGACUGUGUCUUAACAAACUCAUGCCCUCCACUAAGCAGCUGUACAAUGGAGUCAUGUUCAAGAGAGUGCAUGGGUUGAAUACCCAAUCUAUGUGCCCCAACAGCUGCUAGCUGCAAAACCCUUUCAGACAAUUUAAUACCAGAGUCAAGAAAGCUACAGAGUGCCACAAGAAGGGAGCAGCAACAGUGAAAGGCGCAGCUGGCACCUGAAGUCCCUGCAGCAAUGAUGAAACUCUGUGCAAGUUCCUCCGCUCUAAGAAACUAGACAUGACAUGUGCCAUAGACAAGUAGACUCGCUAGAGCUCUGCCAAUCUGGUGCACCAAAGCACUAGGACCAGAGAUGCAGCUAACAUGUUUAAUUGUCAGCUACAGCCAGUCCAGCACAAUUCCCAGUGAGUCCUGGGUAAUGUCCCUUGCAGAAGCCAAAGCAAGAGCUGAUGAAUAUGAUUGACCCUAUCCCAAUUUAAAUUUCCUGGAUGAUUUGAUGUAGAAGGUUUGGAUCGAAUGUAUUGAAGCAGGAUAGCAGCCAGUUCCUCAGGUCUGUGGUCUCCUUAGAGCUUUCCAUUUAAGCAACAAAUGGAGUGCAGUACAAUAGAAACGGGGCUGAAACGAGUGGAUCUAUAAACUAAUUGCAAAACAUAUCAUGUUGCUUCUUGGAUGAAGAGUGGGAUGAACAGCAGUGAGCAUCAAGGUGUGAGGCCCUUGUUUUUGGAAAGAAAGCAGAAGUUCUGGGAAUGGGGAGAGAUUGUCUUCUGUCCUACCUAUGAAUUAAUAACUACAUCUGCUGGCCACAUGGGUUGGAAUGAAGCUAUUUCACACUUCUUUUUCAGGUGCGGUUGCUGGGAGAACAAGCCUGGAUGGAGAGCUCUCAUACAAGUGUGGUGCACACGACUGUUCUACACAUGCCACUGGAAAAAAUAAGCCAAUUUACAGCCUUGGUAAACCAAGAUCAGCAUUCCAGAGUGAUCUCCGAGCACCUCCUAUUCUUGCAGCACGGAUGCUUAGGGGAUACUGGUGCCCUCUGAGGAGGAGGCACAGCAGGAAGGGGCACUUUCCCCAAGAAAAGCUUGGGCUUUGGCCAUGGGAGGGGCACUGGCUUCAGAAGACACGCAGGGACAUCCACAGGAGCAUUGACUCAGCUCAGGUCAUCGAUCCUCACCCAAUAGAGACAGAUGCACUGCUUCAGAAUGAAAGAGAGCCACGUUCUGAAUAGCAGCACUUUCUACUGCUUUUUCCCUUUGCCUGUGUGUGCCAGCCGGGCUCCAUGCAGAGUAACUCUUUUUAGCUGACAAGAGUCAGCGUGAUCUCAGUGCAAAGCGACACGUUUGCCAUCUGCAGAAAGCCAUGGGUUAAAGCACAACUGACCUUCAAACCUCGCCAGCAUUCUCAGUGCUCUGCUGAAGCUAAAUGCUAGGCUAAUUUAUGAAUGGGACAACUCAUCAGCAGAAUUGUAAUGAAUAGACGGCGCGCCCAUUCAUUAUUUUUCCAUCUCUAAGUGUUCAUAAACAGCCCAGUGAUAAUUAACAGAAAUUCUGCCUUUAUAGAAAAGUGACACU